UACGUAGGGACCAAGCGUUGUCCGGAAUAAUUGGGCGUAAAGAGCGUGUAGGCGGCUUGUUAAGUCUUGCGUGAAAUCUCGGGGCUCAACCCCGAGCGGUCGUGAGAAACUGGCAGGCUAGAGUGCGGGAGAGGAGAGUGGAAUUCCUGGUGUAGCGGUGAAAUGCGCAGAUAUCAGGAAGAACACCCGUGGCGAAGGCGGCUCUCUGGACCGCAACUGACGCUGAGACGCGAAAGCGUGGGGAGCAAACAGG
rnacentral:rRNA from 1 species